rnacentral:rRNA from 1 species
GAUGAACGCUGGCGGCGUGCCUAAUACAUGCAAGUCGAGCGAACAGACGAGGAGCUUGCUCCUCUGACGUUAGCGGCGGACGGGUGAGUAACACGUGGAUAACCCAUCUAUAAGACUGGGAUAACUUCGGGAAACCGGAGCUAAUACCGGAUAAUAUAUUGAACCGCAUGGUUCAAUAGUGAAAGACGGUUUUGCUGUCACUUAUAGAUGGAUCCGCGCCGCAUUAGCUAGUUGGUAAGGUAACGGCUUACCAAGGCAACGAUGCGUAGCCGACCUGAGAGGGGGAUCGGCCACACUGGAACUGAGACACGGUCCAGACUCCUACGGGAGGCAGCAGGAGGGAAUCUUCCGCAAUGGGCGAAAGCCUGACGGAGCAACGCCGCGUGAGUGAUGAAGGUCUUCGGAUCGUAAAACUCUGUUAUUAGGGAAGAACAAAUGUGUAAGUAACUAUGCACGUCUUGACGGUACCUAAUCAGAAAGCCACGGCUAACUACGUG